rnacentral:rRNA from 1 species
GACGAACGCUGGCGGCGUGCUUAACACAUGCAAGCCGAACGGAAAGGCCUGCUUUCCCUUGUGGAUUGCGGGUACUCGAGUGGCGAACGGGUGAGUAACACGUGAGUGAUCUGCCCCCAACUUGGGUAUAAGCCUGGGAAACUGGGUCUAAUUCCCGAUAGGACUGCAGGGUGGUGCCGGUGGUGGAAAACGAUUGCCUAGUGGUUGGGGAUGAGCUCGCGGCCUAUCAGCUUGUUGGUGGGGUAAUGGCCUACCAAGGCGGCGACGGGUAGCCGGCCUGGGAGGGUGGCCGGGCACGUUGGGACUGGCAUACGGCCCAGACUCCUACGGCAGGCAGCAGUGGUGAAUAUUGCACAAUGGGCGGAUGCCUGAUGCAGCGACGCCGCGUGGGGAUGACGGCCUUCGGGUUGUAAACUCCUUUCGACCGCGAGGAAGCCACCUGGUUGGAAGGGUGGUGACGGUAGUGGUAGAAGAAGCACCGGCUAACUACGUG